ACGAACGCUGGCGGCGUGCCUAAUACAUGCAAGUAGAACGCACAGUUUAUACCGUAGCUUGCUACACCAUAAACUGUGAGUUGCGAACGGGUGAGUAACGCGUAGGUAACCUGCCUGGUAGCGGGGGAUAACUAUUGGAAACGAUAGCUAAUACCGCAUAAUAUUGAUUAUUGCAUGAUAAUUGAUUGAAAGAUGCUAUUGCAUCACUACCAGAUGGACCUGCGUUGUAUUAGCUAGUAGGUGAGGUAACGGCUCACCUAGGCGACGAUACAUAGCCGACCUGAGAGGGUGAUCGGCCAAACUGGGACUGAGACACGGCCCAGACUCCUACGGGAGGCAGCAGUAGGGAAUCUUCGGCAAUGGACGAAAGUCUGACCGAGCAACGCCGCGUGAGUGAAGAAGGUUUUCGGAUCGUAAAGCUCUGUUGUAAGAGAAGAACGGGUGUGAGAGUGGAAAGUUCACACUGUGACGGUAUCUUACCAGAAAGGGACGGCUAACUACGUG
rnacentral:rRNA from 1 species